UAAUACGAAGGGGGCUAGCGUUGCUCGGAAUCACUGGGCGUAAAGGGUGCGUAGGCGGGUUUUUAAGUCAGAGGUGAAAUCCUGGAGCUCCACUCCAGAACUGCCUUUGAUACUGAAAGUCUUGAGUAUGGGAGAGGUGAGUGGAACUGCGAGUGUAGAGGUGAAAUUCGUAGAUAU
rnacentral:rRNA from 1 species